CCUGCACCAAACUCACCUGAUUCAAGUCAUCAGCUAAUUAAGCGGCCUGCACGAGCUGAGAUUCUUACUGAGGUGCUGUUUUCCACAUGCAGUGCUUGGCUGUGUUGGAGGUCACCAAGAAAGACUUCCUGGCUGUCAUGUGGAAGCUAAGUGGGCUGGGGUCAAAAGGGUUUCUGGCCAUGGUGCUUGUGCUGCAGUGAUCUUGUUCUCCAUCACACUCCAACACAGGUAGCCAUCUUCACCCUCUCCCAAGAGGUGAAGAGUCAAGACUCACAGGGGACUCGGGGCACAAGGUGGGGGGACACCCAGGACAGGGUGCCAACCCAUUGCAGGGCACAAUUGCACACAUUUUUUAGAGAUGCCAAUCGGCCUAUGACACAUGUCCUUGGACUGCGGGAGGAAACCAGAGUACCGG
ensembl:lncRNA